GGGGGCAAAGCACUUUGGAGCCAGAAGCAACCCCUGCCUGGGCUGAGGCCCUGUGGGCCUCGCUCCACGACUGUCACACCUUGCCCACCACUGGAGAGAUGGCCGCUGCCCGUGGACUCCCCGGCAGCCAUGUGGUUGCCCAGCCCAGGGGGGCUUCAGAAAGGUGACCUUGCACUGGCCAAGGCCCGUGGGCAGGCUAGGCUAUGGCCUGUAGAUCUUAAUGACGUCCUUGAUGGGCCGCCGGCAGAUGGGGCAGCAGGCCCGGGCCUGCCGCUUGAGCCGCAGGCCGCAGCUGUGGCACAGGCACAUGUGUCCACACGUGUAGAUGACCGUGUCCACCUCGCCAUCGAAGCACACCGUGCACUCGCCAUUCUUGAUGCCUGCCGGCUCCGGUGGGGAGAACACGGGGGACACCGGGGGGCUCAGCGGGGAGCUGGGGGCCGUCACUGCCGAAAGGGAGAAGAGGACAUAUGUCAACAAUGUCUCUCUCAGGUGGGCUCUGUUGGGGCAACCCCGAGAAUGCAGGGCUUCUUGGUGGGACCGGUGGGAGAAUACUUUUGGGAGAUACUAAUUUGAGUUUACCUUGCAGGUUUUGCACCUUUCUCUACUCUUCUACUCCCAAACACCAAGAUAAAAUGCCGCCAUCGUCACCCUUUGGAAUGCCCUAUCUAGACACUUCUCCUCCCUCCAGCUGAGCAUACAGCUGAGGGAAGGAGAGGAUGCGGGGGAAAGGCAGCCACCCUGCUCAGCCCCUGGAAGGCCACUGGCACAGCUGGAGGAGCCAGGCCAGCCGCCAGCCCCUGCCCCUGCCAGGGUUUGCAUUUCCUUACCCAGGGAUGACUCAGAUGCCGAGGAGGACUGGUUGACACUGAAGGUCAUAUCUGAAUCACUAUCGUCCUGGGAGCCGCUGAGGGACCCUGAUGGAGUCGUGGUCGCAGGGCUGGACUGCAGGGUACCUGAGGCCCAAAGAGAUUCCAUCAGGGGCAGUGGAAGGUUGGACCUGCCCUGCUAGUCCAUGGUUCUUCACUGCUUUGCACCUUAGCUUUCCCGUCUAACGAGAGGAGCAGAGAAACAGCCCUGGGAUGUUCUUUUGGGAUACUAAUGUGCCCUCCCUCAUAGGAUAAGGGCCAGGCCAACAGGCACUUCCACUCUCUGGUCUCAAUAGUGGUGGUUCAGGAAAGGGCACAUAACCAACCCCCGUAAGGCCCGAGACCCAAUUCUGCAACUUUUACUGGAACUACUAGGAAAGAAGGAACUCAUUCCAUUCAUUGGGAAGGAAGCCUGGAGCUGGAAGAGCCAACCCGUGGCAAAGGCCUGCCUGAGAGUGAUGCCAACACAGAGGCAAGCAGAGCUUUGAGUUGGAAAGAGAGGUAGGAUCCUGCUGAUAUCCUUCCAGUACCUAGAUCCAGCUAUUCCUGAACUCACCCAAUAUACUCCCAGACAUUUCCUUUUUUGCUUAGGGCACUUUGAGUGGGGUUUUGCCCCUUGCGAGAAGAUCCCUGACUACUAGUGCCCAACGUGGAUGAGUUUUCUUCCCCAAGCUUGCUGUUGGUUCAGACAAUAACAGCUUGUUUCUUAGGAUGAAGAGAUGCCCCUUCCCUUGCCCUACGUGAGGAUGAAUGGACAGAUAAUGGGCACUUCGUCUCGGGCUGAAAUGAUGACUAUGUCUGAUGGUUCCUCAAAAACACAAAACAACACAACUUCCCCCUCCCCAAAAAACACUCUGACCAAAUAACCACACUGCCACCCGGCUCCUCCUCUGCCCUCAUGAAGACAGCAACAGCUGCUGUUGUGACUGUUACCACUGAUUAAACCAGUGUCAGGCCCCGCUCAAGGCAUUACAUGCACAUGAUUUCAUCCUCAUGACAACCCCAUGAAGCAGGUAUCACUCUCUUUCUACAGAAGGAAACAGGCUCAGGAGAAUCUGUGAUUUGUCCAGCAUCUUCAAAGCUGACCAGCGAUGUGACCCUGGGAUAGUCAUUUAAUCUCUCUGUGCUCAUUGUCUUAUCUGUAGGUGGGGAUAAUGAUACUGAUUUCAAUUGGGUCAAAGGGAGGAUAAAAUUCAAUGAGGGAGCAUAUGAGCUGUUGACUGCUUCUUAUUGCUUGGACUCUACUUUUUGAGCCAUGAAGUUGGAGCCA
rnacentral:lncRNA from 1 species